GAUGAACGCUGGCGGCGUGCCUAAUACAUGCAAGUCGAGCGAACGGACGCGAAGCUUGCUUCUCUGAUGUUAGCGGCGGACGGGAGAGUAACACGUGGAUAACCUACCUAUAAGACUGAUAUAACUUCGGGAAACCGGAGCUAAUACCGGAUAAUAUUUUGAACCACGUGGUUCAAAGGAGAGAGACGGUCUUGCGGUCACUUAUAGAUGGAUCUGCGCUGCAUUAGCUGGUUGGUACGGUAAAGGCUUACGAAGGCAACGAUGCAUGACCGACCUGAGAGGGUGAUCGGCCACCUGAGAGGUGGGACAGGGUCCAGGCGCCUGAGGGAGGCAGCAGUAGCGAAUGUUCCGCAGUGGGGGAAAGCAUGGCGGAGCAACGGCGAGUGAGUGAUGGAGGUGCUCGGAGCGGAAAACUGUGUUAUUAGGGAUGAACAUAUGUGGAAGGAACUGUGCACAGCUUGACGGUAACUAAUCAGAAAGCCACGGCUAACUACGUG
rnacentral:rRNA from 1 species